GCUGGGCGUGGUGGCGCAUGCCUGUAAUCCCAGCUACUUAGGAGGCUGAGGCAGGAGAAUUGCUUGAACUAGGGAAUUGGAGGUUGCAGUGAGCUGAGAUCAUGCCACUGCACUCCAGCCUGGUGACAGAGUGAGACUCUGUCUCAA
rnacentral:SRP_RNA from 1 species